GACGUAGGGUCCGAGCGUUGUCCGGAGUUACUGGGCGUAAAGAGCUCGUAGGCGGUUUGUCGCGUCUGCCGUGAAAGUCCGGGGCUCAACUCCGGAUCUGCGGUGGGUACGGGCAGACUAGAGUGAUGUAGGGGAGACUGGAAUUCCUGGUGUAGCGGUGAAAUGCGCAGAUAUCAGGAGGAACACCGAUGGCGAAGGCAGGUCUCUGGGCAUUAACUGACGCUGAGGAGCGAAAGCAUGGGGAGCGAACAGG
rnacentral:rRNA from 1 species